rnacentral:tRNA from 1 species
GCGCGAUUAGCUCAGUUGGAUAGAGCGUUGGCCUCCGGAGCCAAAGGUCAGUGGUUCGAGUCCACUAUCGCGCGCCA